ACGAAUUUCGAUUCGGUCUUCUGUGCUGGUGGCAACACAUGUGCACGUUGAUCGUAAUUCCAUUCUCCUUUCAAUCGUCCAAGUGUGUUCGGUCGGCCUUUUGGGUCGAAGAAGCGUGGCCGUCAGGCUCGCUUCGUUCUGAGCGCACAUUGGUUAUUUCACCCACUCUGGGUACUCGAAACAAAGAAAACAAAUCAUAUAAAUUAAA
rnacentral:misc_RNA from 1 species